AAACUACUCCCUCCGUCCUAAAAUUCUUGUCUUAGAUUUGUUUAGAAAUGGAUGUAUCAAAAUAUUAAAACAUGACUAGAUACAUUCAUAUCUAGACAAACCUAAGACAAGAAUUUUGGGACGGAGGGAGUAUAAG
rfam:Hordeum vulgare subsp. vulgare, WGS project CAJW01000000 data, contig: morex_contig_89787